rnacentral:rRNA from 1 species
CCUACGGGGGGCUGCAGUGGGGAAUAUUGGACAAUGGGGGGAACCCUGAUCCAGCCAUGCCGCGUGUGUGAAGAAGGCCCUCGGGUUGUAAAGAACUUUCAGUGAGGAAGAACGCCUGGUGGUUAAUACCCAUCAGGAAAGACAUCACUCACAGAAGAAGCACCGGCUAACUCCGUGCCAGCAGCCGCGGUAAUACGGAGGGUGCGAGCGUUAAUCGGAAUUACUGGGCGUAAAGCGCGCGUAGGUGGCUUGAUAAGCCGGUUGUGAAAGCCCCGGGCUCAACCUGGGAACGGCAUCCGGAACUGUCAAGCUAGAGUGCAGGAGAGGAAGGUAGAAUUCCCGGUGUAGCGGUGAAAUGCGUAGAGAUCGGGAGGAAUACCAGUGGCGAAGGCGGCCUUCUGGACUGACACUGACACUGAGGUGCGAAAGCGUGGGUAGCAAACAGGAUUAGAUACCCCAGUAGUC